rnacentral:lncRNA from 1 species
AUGCCUUAUAAUGAAAUUAUAUCUCCUGUAUUGGAUAUGGAUGUCUACUCAAAGAUAUAUACUUUCUUUGAGGUAAAUGAUAACCAGUGUUGUACAUUCUAGUAUCUUUUCAUCAAUAUAUUGUCAUGCAUGGUUAGAUGACAUAUAAGAUGAUAUGCUUUACAUUUUUGAAGAGAGCAUCUGAUUCCUGAAGUAGAGGCAUCGUUUGCAUAAUCCAGAAAACAUUUGGAGGGAGACAGCCCCUGUGUUUUGAAAGGUUUAACCUUCACAGUGGUUUUGUAAUUUAUCAUUUUAGCUCACACUGAUAAGGGUUCCUCAAGCAGAUUCAAACUUGCUCUUUUCCAACCAACUUUCUAAUUAAGGAAUUGAACAGAUUACCUUUGAAGGUUAAUUCAAGCGUGGUGGUCCUGGCUCAUUAACACCCUAGGUCAACUCUUAUUAUUUGCAGCAAAUGUUCUCUUGAUGUAAUGAUUCAAAUUCUAGCUCAAUUCAAGGAAUGUUUUUCGAGAAGUUUGUAGCUCCUAGAGGGAACUUUAGUGGAAAUGGCUAUUGGUUUAUUUUGUGUGCAUUUCAACUCAGCUUCUAGUGGGCGGCCGCCCCCCCCCCCCCCCGAACUUUUUGCUCAGUAGUGGUGAGUAUGUAGUUUUCGUACAGAAAUUUUUGGGUAUAUACGUUUUCGACCCCCCGGUCGGAAAUCUCAAGCUUCGCAUUUAUUGCAACCGAAAAGGCCGCACAUACUGCAGAUAGUGAACUUGGUACUCAACUUUUGGUAGGAAGGAAGCACAAAGAAGAAGGUGGGCCUGUCUUUUCUAUACCAGCCUACAAGGUUAUGUUAGCAUUCUACUAGAAGCCCUUCAUCCUACACCAGGAGGUAGGGCUCUACACGGUUCAGGCUAGCUUUCAGUUUCUGUUUCAGGUCAACUGAACUCAGAAAUUCUUUCAUAUGGUAUCAGUGUUGUAGCACACAAAAUGUAUUCUAAAGAUAUGGAGCCUGGCUCCCUUAACUUCUUUGGUGUGAUUGAUUGAUCUGAAUCCUUCCACCAGGUACUUGCUUCUAAACAUACUACUGUCUUGAUUGGCGUGCAG